rnacentral:lncRNA from 10 species
UGUUGUUGUUGUUGUUGUUGUUGUUUUUGAGACACGGUCUCACUCCCGCCGCCCAGGCUAGUGUGCAGUGGCACGAUCUCGGCUCACUGCAGCCUUAACCUCCUGUGUUCAAGCGAUCCACCCAUCUCAGCCCCGCAAGUAGCUAGGACUACAGGCACGUGCCACCACACCUGGGUUUUGUUUUUUGUUUUUUGUUUUUCUUAUAGAGACAGGGUUUUGCCAUGCUGUCCAGGCUGACAUGGUGAAACCCCAUCUCUACUAAAAAUACAAAAAAGGCCGGGCACGGUGGCUCAUGCCUGUAAUCCCAGCACUUCGGGAGGCCAAGGCAGGCAGAUCACCUGAGGUCAGGAGUUCCAGACCAGCCUGACCGACAUGGAGAAACCCCAUCUCUACUAGAAAUACGAAAUUAGCUGGGCAUGGUGGCACAUGCCUGUAAUCCCAGCUACCAGGGAGGCUGAGGCAGGAGAAUCGCUUGAACCUGGGAGGCGGAGGUUGCAGUGAGCCGAGAUCGCGCCACUGCACUCCAGCCUGAGCAACAAGAGUGAAACUCCAUCUCAAAAAAAAAAUACAAAAAUUAGCCAGGCAUGGUGGCACACGCCUGUAAUCCCAGCUACUUGGGAGGCUGAGGCAUGAGGAUCACUUAAACCCAGGAGGCAGAGGUUGCAGUGAGCUGAGAUCGCACAAAUGCACUUUAGCCUGGGUGACAGAGCGAGACUUCAUCUCAAAAAGAAAAAAAAAAGAAAAAUGCUGGAACCCACAGAGGAUGCCGGAAAGGGGGCAGUGGUCCCCAGACUAACCCGUAUGCCAGCCAAGCACCCUCAAGUGAUCCCAGCUGGUGGCACAGAACUGAAGAUUAACCCUGCCCUCACUGUCCAGAUUCCUAACCCACAACGCUGUGAGAUAUAAUAAAAUGGUUGUGUUAACUGUUUUAAGAAUGGUGUCUGACUUGAGGUGACCGCGACUUUUACGUAGCAGUAGGUAACUGGAACAGAUGUCCAACCUCACUAGAAAUUACAGAAAACCCGGCCGGGCGCAGUGGCUCAGCCUGUAAUCCCAGCACUGUGGGAGGCCGAGGCGGGCAGAUCACGAGGUCAGGAGAUCGAGAUCAUCCUGGCUGACACGGUGAAACCCCCGUCUCUACUAAAAAUACAAAAAAUUAGCCGGGUGUGGUGGCGGGCGCCUGUAGUCCCAGCUACUCAGGAGGCUGAGGCAGGAGAAUGGCGUGAACCCGGAAGGUGGAGCUUGCAGGGAAAGCCCAAAUGACCUACCAUUUCAAUCCAUCAGAUUGACAAAUAUUAAAUGUCUCGACACAGCUGGGCGCAGUGGCUCACGCCUGUAAUCCCAACACUUUGGGGGGCCAAGGCGAGCGGAUUGCUUGAGGCCAGAAGUGUGACAGCAGCCUAGGUAACACGGUGAAACCCCAUCUCUACCAAAACUACCAAAGAUUAGCUGGGUGUGGUGGCGCGUGCCCCUGGUCCCAGUCACUCAGGAGGCUGUGGUGGGAGCCCCGGAGGAAGGAGUUGCAGUGAGCCAAGAUUGUACCACUGCACUCCAGUCUGGGUGACAAAGUGAGACCUCAUCUCAAAUAAAAUCAAUGUCUUGGGGCCAGGCACAGUGGCUCACGCCUGUAAUCCCAGCACUUUAAGAGGCUGAGGCGGGCGGAUCACCUGAGGUUCGGAGUUCCAGGCCCGCCUGACCAACACGGAGAAACCCCGUCUCUACUAAAAAUACAAAAUUAGCCAGGCCUGGUGGCGCGUGCCUGUAGUCCCAGCUACUCGGGAGUCUGAGGCAGAAGAAUCACUUGAACCAGGGAGGCAGAGGUUGCGGUGAGCAGCUGAGAUUGCACCACUGCACUCCAGCCUGGGUAACAAGAGCAACGUAAAUAAAUAAAUAAAUAAAUAAAUGUCUCAACACACGUUGGAGGGAGGUGGAACACAAACACCCCUUAUUCCAGUCAAACUGCAGACAAGUACGAGGUUCUGGCAAAGAGUGGGACAGGUCUACUGUAAUUUUACCUGUGCAUACCAGGAGACCCAGAAUUCCGCUUAGAAUCUCAUGGUAUUUAACCGGGAGCCUCACACGCCACUGCUCCUACUAGCAAAGCAUCGCGAAAACCGUCAUGGGACAUUGACUCCACAAAAACAAACAGUAUGCAACUGACCCUUGGGUCAUCCUAAGGGUCCAGGUUCUGUGAUCUUCCCAACGCCCAUGCAGAUGGCCCCGUUUUGCACAUACACCAAGGCUCUUUGAGAUGACUCUGCCAGAGUAAGCAGCCUCCAACCACUGUCCAAAGUGAAACCUGUCCCGAGCUGCCCCACACACUCCUCAGUAAGAACACGGGAGGCAAGGGGCUCCCGCACAGCUGCCAGCUGCUUCCCUGCCAAAACACCUGGAGCUGCUCCUCUGCCUCUCAGCAACUGCUUCAGGUCAGGCUGGGUGAAUUUCCCAGGGAGCCCGUUUUCACUGGCCAGGCCAAUGGCAGCGGCCAUGUUUCUGCCUUUUCAAAUCAUCGAAUCAGGCAGGACCACAGGAUGCAGUUCUGCCCACGGA